rnacentral:rRNA from 1 species
ACGCGAAGAACCUUACCAGGCCUUGACAUCCCGAUCGCGGGUCCCUGAAAGGGGACCUUUCAGUUCGGCUGGAUCGGUGACAGGUGCUGCAUGGCUGUCGUCAGCUCGUGUCGUGAGAUGUUGGGUUAAGUCCCGCAACGAGCGCAACCCUCGCCCUUAGUUGCCAUCAUUUAGUUGGGCACUCUAAGGGGACUGCCGGUGAUAAGCCGCGAGGAAGGUGGGGAUGACGUCAAGUCCUCAUGGCCCUUACGGCCUGGGCUACACACGUGCUACAAUGGCGGUGACAAUGGGCAGCAAACCCGCAAGGGGGAGCUAAUCUCAAAAAGCCGUCUCAGUUCGGAUUGGAGUCUGCAACUCGACUCCAUGAAGUUGGAAUCGCUAGUAAUCGUGGAUCAGCACGCCACGGUGAAUACGUUCCCGGGUCUUGUACACACCG